AUUGAACGCUGGCGGCAUGCCUUACACAUGCAAGUCGAACGGCAGCACGGGUGCUUGCCCCUGGUGGCGAGUGGCGAACGGGUGAGUAAUACAUCGGAACAUGUCCUGUAGUGGGGGAUAGCCCGGCGAAAGCCGGAUUAAUACCGCAUACGAUCUACGGAUGAAAGCGGGGGACCUUCGGGCCUCGCGCUAUCGGGUUGGCCGAUGGCUGAUUAGCUAGUUGGUGGGGUAAAGGCCUACCAAGGCGACGAUCAGUAGCUGGUCUGAGAGGACGACCAGCCAAACUGGGACUGAGACACGGCCCAGACUCCUACGGGAGGCAGCAGUGGGGAAUUUUGGCAAAUGGGCGAAAGCCUGAUCCAGCAAUGCGGCGUGUGUGAAGAAGGCCUUCGGGUUGUAAAGCACUUUUGUCCGGAAAGAAAUCCUUGGCCCUAAUACGGUCGGGGGAUGACGGUACCGGAAGAAUAAGCACCGGCUAACUACGU
rnacentral:rRNA from 1 species